rnacentral:ncRNA from 1 species
UUAAUCAUAUUAGUCAGCAGAGGAAAAGAAACUAACGAGGAUUCCCUCAGUAAGGGCGAGUGCAGAGGGAAGAACCCAGAGCCGAAUCCCCACCCCGCGGUGGGGCACGGGACAUGUGGCUUACAGAAGCCCCCCUCCCCGGCAGCGCUCUCGGGGGAUCCAAGUCCUUGUGAUCAUGGCCACAGCCCGCGGACGGUGUGAGGCUGGCAGCGGACCCUGGCGCGGUGGGCCCAGGGCUUCUCGGAG